rnacentral:misc_RNA from 1 species
GAAAUGCGAUAAGUAGUGUGAAUUGCAGAAUUCCGUGAAUCAUCGAAUCUUUGAACGCACAUUGCGCCCUCUGGCAUUCCGGGGGGGAUGCCUGUCCGAGCGUCAUUACGCACCCUCAAGCCCGGCUUGUGUGAUGGGCCCCGGCGUCUCGUUCGCGAGACGGGCCCGAAAGGCAGCGGCGGCGUCGACCCGAUGAGCCCGAGCGUAUGGGGACUUCUGUCACACGUUCGCGGUGCGGACCGGCGCCUGCUUGACUUUUCUGAUUAUCCAGGUUGACCUCGGAUCAGGUAGGGAUACCCGCUGAACUUAAGC